UACGUAGGGUGCAAGCGUUGUCCGGAAUUAUUGGGCGUAAAGAGCUCGUAGGCGGUCUGUCGCGUCGGCUGUGAAAACCCGGAGCUCAACUCCGGGCCUGCAGUCGAUACGGGCAAACUGGAGUGUUGCAGGGGAGACUGGAAUUCCUGGUGUAGCGGUGAAAUGCGCAGAUAUCAGGAGGAACACCGGUGGCGAAGGCUGGUCUCUGGGCAACAACUGACGCUGAGGAGCGAAAGCGUGGGGAGCGAACAGG
rnacentral:rRNA from 1 species